UCUAGCUUCAUGACCUUUAAUGGUGGGCCGAUUUCGUUGCACCCGCGAUAGCACUUUGAACCUCUCCUGUGUCUAUUUAGACAUUUUAUUAAAUGUUUUUUAUAUUAAUUUUUGUAAAACAGAUUAUAAGAUUUUUUCGCGCCAAAUAAUUCCAUAUGCAUCCAUUUGCCGUAACUCCAUUCUUACUCGAGAUAUCCGUAACUAAAAAUUAUUUUUAUCGGCUGUGUGCUAACUUCAGGGUCAUAGUUUUUAUACAGGAGUAACAACAUCCAAAAAGUAUUAUAAAACCUAAUGCUGAACCAACACUCAUGUUGAAGCUUGAAGAAGAAAAAUCAAGGCGUUCAGAAAAAAUUCGGAAAGCUCUUUUCGAAGAAGAUUCUAAUGAUUCAUCAUCAUCAUUGCCUUUAUCGCUUUUGGAUGAUCCAAUAAAUAUUUUCGAAAAUAUUGCAAACAGUUUGAUUGAAUCACCUGUAAACAAUUGUAUAUCAUCAGCACCAUCAUCAUCAAAUGAAAACAAUAAAAUUACAGAGCCACAAAAAAAUAGAGCUUCGAAGUUCGCCAAUAAAUAAAGAAACAUUGAUAGAUCAUUAAAUUAAAGAGCCAUUUGCAUCAACUGAUAUUCAAAAUUGUUCAACAAUCUGAAACAUAUCAAGCAUACUCGAUGAUUACUAUAAUAUCGAUGUAUAAAUGGAACAGGAGGUCUAUUCAUUGCCAAUGUCAGAAAGUAGUAUUGCAGAUUACAUGGAAUCAAAUCAUGUGAAAUCUUUGGAAGUGAAAAAAUAAAAAUCAUCUGCCGUAGAAAAAAAUGUUUUAGUUCAAAUGGUAUCCAAGUUUACCGUGGGCCUUUAUUUGUUCAAUCAAUUUUUCACCGAGAUGAUGUAAUACAUUACUAUA